UACGUAGGGACCGAGCGUUGUCCGGAAUCAUUGGGCGUAAAGAGCGUGUAGGCGGCCAAUUAAGUCCUGCGUGAAAUCUCGGGGCUCAACCCCGAGCGGUCGUGGGAAACUGGUUGGCUAGAGUGCGGGAGAGGAGAGUGGAAUUCCUGGUGUAGCGGUGAAAUGCGUAGAUAUCAGGAGGAACACCGAUGGCGAAGGCAGCUGCCUGGCCUAGAACUGACGCUGAGGUGCGAAAGCGUGGGGAGCGAACAGG
rnacentral:rRNA from 1 species